rnacentral:lncRNA from 1 species
UUCAGCGAAAUCAUACAGGAGGAAAACACACCGUGCCUAAAACGAGGGGACGAAUCGCAACCUACCUCAGGGCUGCGACACGAGGAGUCAGUGCCGUGCCCUCAAAUCACUGCAAAGGGGAGUGGGGGGGGAGGGGGUCGAGGGCUGCGAACCGCCGAAACUUGGUUCUUUGUGCCCCGGGUCCCUUUGUGCGCGGCUGCCCGCACAGCCCGAGACGACUGCACGGCCCCGGGGCGCCGAGCGGAGCUGCUCCGCCGCCGUCUCACAACGGCAGGGACGCCCAAGUUGGGAACUUCUUGCGCGCGGCUGCGGCCGCGCUCUGAUUUAAAGCACUUCAAGCACGGCCGCCAGCUGAAAGUUUGCAGUCUGUACACCCACACAAAGAAAACCCCGCUGCGGCGGGAGGGUGGGGGGGAAGCAGUCUUCCUCCUCCCUUUAACCCUAAGCGCGGGGAAACUUUCCGACUCUUCUCCUCUUUUCAGGACUACGAGGGCAGGGGAAAGCGGCAGUUUAGCAGCGAUCGCGUUCCGGUUCCCGCACCGCAGACAAAGAGUGGGGCUGCGCGCCGACCUCCACUGGGGCAGCGGGACGGGGAGGGCGGACAGCAACGGCCGCGAGCGGCGCCAACAGCCACUGCGGCCCUGCGGGGAACGCGGGCGGGAAGAGCGCGCCGCCUUCACUGUCACGCCGUGUCCGAGCGGCUCCCCGCACGUACCUUUUUUACUUUUCAUCGUGUCGGCGAGGACCGCCGCGCUCCGGGAGGCGAAGCGGGACGCUGCUCCCCGGAUUCUCAACUCGGCGACGAGAAGCAGGACGGCGAAGAAGAGCAACCAGGCUGCCGGCCCGGGGCCGCGUUGCUGUCAGGGAGCCGCGGGAUUCCGCCUCCCUGGGGGCUUUCCGACGGCCGCGGGCUCGCUUCGCCUUUGUUCCUUCCUCGUGGAAGUGGGAGAAAGCACGGGAGGGAAAGGUGCGCGCGGCCGCCCUCCCCCUUCCCGCAGUGACUGA